rnacentral:rRNA from 1 species
UACGAGGGGGGCAAAUGUUGUUCGGAAUCACUGGGCGUAAAGGGAGCGUAGGCGGGUUCUUAAGUAAGGUGUUUAAUCCCGGGGCCCAACCCCGGACCGGCACUUUAAACUGGGAAUCUUGAAUAGUGGAGAGGUCGGUGGAAUUGGGGGUGUAGCGGUGAAAUGCGUAGAUAUCUGGAGGAACACCGGUGGCGAAGGCGGCAUCCUGGACCGGUAUUGACACUGAGGCGCGAAAGCCAGGGAGCAAACGGG